UAUCCAUGAUGUGGGCAAGCACUUAGGAGAUCCUUAAAAGUCUUCCAGCAUUAGAAGAAAGUUUCUUCCUCUUUCUGUGAGAAGUUCAUAAUGACUCUUCUAAGGGU